GACGUACCACCCGAACGUUAUUCGGAUUCAUUGGGCGUAAAGAGCGUGUAGGCGGCCAGGUAGGUCUGCUGUGAAAACUCGAGGCUCAACCUCGAGACGUCGGCGGAAACCAUCUGGCUAGAGUCCGGAAGAGGAGAGUGGAAUUCCUGGUGUAGCGGUGAAAUGCGUAGAGAUCAGGAAGAACACCGGUGGCGAAAGCGCUCUGCUAGGCCGCAACUGACACUCAUGGACGAAAGCUAGGGGAGCGAAUGGG
rnacentral:rRNA from 1 species